rnacentral:rRNA from 1 species
GACGAACGCUGGCGGCGUGCUUAACACAUGCAAGUCGAACGGAAAGGCCUUUUCGGAGGUACUCGAGUGGCGAACGGGUGAGUAACACGUGGGUGAACUGCCCUGCACUCUGGGAUAAGCCUGGGAAACUGGGUCUAAUACCGGAUAGGACCGCACUUUAGUGUGUGUGGUGGAAAGUUUUUUCGGUGUAGGAUGAGCCCGCGGCCUAUCAGCUUGUUGGUGGGGUAAUGGCCUACCAAGGCGGCGACGGGUAGCCGGACUGAGAGGUUGGUCGGCCACAUUGGGACUGAGAUACGGCCCAGACUCCUACGGGAGGCAGCAGUGGGGAAUAUUGCACAAUGGGCGCAAGCCUGAUGCAGCGACGCCGCGUGGGGGAUGACGGCCUUCGGGUUGUAAACUCCUUUCGCCAGGGACGAAGCGUUUUGUGACGGUACCUGGAGAAGAAGCACCGGCUAACUACGUG